GACGGAGGAUGCAAGUGGUAUGCGGCAUCACUGGGCGUAAAGCGUCUGUAGGUGGUUUAAUAAGUCAACUGUUAAAUCUUGAGGCUCAACCUCAAAAUCGCAGUCGAAACUAUUAGACUAGAGGAUAGUAGGGGUAAAGGGAAUUUCCAGUGGAGCGGUGAAAUGCGUAGAGAUUGGAAAGAACACCGAUGGCGAAGGCACUUUACUGGGCUAUUACUAACACUGAGAGACGACAGCUAGGGUAGCAAAGGGG
rnacentral:rRNA from 1 species